AACACUUGAACUAAGUCCUGUGGCCUCACUUAAUAAUUAUUGGCAUAUUUUUCAGUUAAGUCAGACCCACCGUUUAUCAGUAGACACAAAGCCAUCAUUGGGUUUCUUACCUAACAGUUAUUGAGCCCAACUCCAUUUCUAUCUCGAGGCAUCUAAUACCAAUAGAGUGGUUAUACCUUUUCGAUAUAACUGAAUCACUGUAAC
rnacentral:lncRNA from 1 species